UAGGGAAUUUUCCACAAUGGGCGAAAGCCUGAUGGAGCAACGCCGCGUGAGUGAUGAAGGUUUUCGGAUCGUAAAGCUCUGUUGACAGGGAAGAAUAAGCUUCGUUCGAAUAGGUCGAAGUCCUGACGGUACCUGUUUAGAAAGCCACGGCUAACUACGUGCCAGCAGCCGCGGUAAUACGUAGGUGGCAAGCGUUAUUCGGAAUUAUUGGGCGUAAAGCGUGCGUAGGUGGUUUCUUAAGUCCGAUGUGAAAGCCCAUGGCUCAACCAUGGAGGGUCAUUGGAAACUGAGAAGCUUGAGUACGAAAGAGGAGAGUGGAAUUCCACGUGUAGCGGUGAAAUGCGUAGAGAUGUGGAGGAACACCAGUGGCGAAGGCGACUCUCUGGUUCGAUACUGACACUGAGGCACGAAAGUGUGGGGAGCAAACAG
rnacentral:rRNA from 1 species